rnacentral:tRNA from 1 species
GAGGGUAUAGCUCAAGUGGUAGAGCACAUGCUUAGCAUGCAGGAGGUCUUGGGUUCAAUCCCCAAGAGGUUCA